UGUUAUGGAUAAGGUUCCAGAUGGAUGUUGCCAGUUGGGGGUGUUGUCCCUGCACAUUCAGACACUGGCAGCACUGAUUUGAUUAUGUCAUACUGUGCAGGGACAUUUCCACCCCAACUAGUAACACCCAUCUGGACCUUCAUUACAG